UACAGAGGUCUCAAGCGUUGUUCGGAUUCAUUGGGCGUAAAGGGUGCGUAGGCGGCGCGGUAAGUCGGGUGUGAAAUUUCGAGGCUUAACUUCGAAACUGCAUUCGAUACUGCCAUGCUAGAGGACUGGAGAGGAGACUGGAAUUUACGGUGUAGCGGUGAAAUGCGUAGAUAUCGUAAGGAAGACCAGUGGCGAAGGCGGGUCUCUGGACAGUUCCUGACGCUGAGGCACGAAGGCCAGGGGAGCAAACGGG
rnacentral:rRNA from 1 species